AUUUAGUUGUAGUUGUCAUGUUUCUUGUCCGAAUGUUUUGCAUACGUUUUCGCUGUGUUGCACCUUGCUUUUGGCUUGAAAUCGUUAAUGCCAAUUAAAAGAAAAGCGACGUUAAUAGCGCCGAGCGCCGAGAGAGCCGACCACUCGGAGAGUGCCAAAGAAAACAAAAAAAAAAAGAAACAAAUUCGAGAGCAUGAGCGCGAGAGAGCGCGCGCUGGCACUGGGGCGGGCUACUUGAGACUUGUGCGGUGCAACUGCAGUGUGGCCAAAUACGAAGGCGCAAAACUGCCAGCCGAAUGGCCGACGAUUGCCGCCGACAGCGACAGCAAUGGCGUUGGCAACGUUAACGUCGACGUCGACCGCGACUGCGGCGUUAACAGCGACAGCGCUUUGCAUUGCGAAGGCCGACGACAAACAUUUGAUGCUGCUGGCGUUUUGAUACUUGUUCGUACUUGCAGAACCCUCCUCGACUCGCGAUAAACGGCAGCGCAGUGUGUCGAAUUUCAUAUAAAAAGUACACGACUCUAGUUAAUUGCAAGCCCAUCUUUGGGCCAUUUCAAACUGGCACAUCAAUUUUGGUUUUCCUAUCCGCCACCUGGCGCUGGCGGCGGCUCCUCAACUCAGCUACAGUUCUAGCAAGAUCGUAUAUAUGUAUUACUUGCCAUACAUGCUAACAUUAAACGGUACAUCAACAUUUUCAACAUGAUUCGUAGACAGAAUAACACAUGAGCAAAUACACACACACACUCACACACACACACACACACGCGCACACACACACAUGUGCAUAGCUGCAAGAGUAUUUGUAUAUUCUGUGUUUCCUCGACCUCAGCAACACGACAGUAAAACAUACACAAAAAAACAAAAAAAGAUAACAAGCAAUUACACACACACACACACACACACAGACGCCCACGCACAUACACUGCCACUGCAUAUGCAGCUGCUGCCAUUUAUUCGAUAAUUCGUUGUGCCCGGUUGUAACGGUAAACUGCCCUCUUUAUGGUAUGCGCACACACGCACACACUCUCACGCUGCUAAUUUCGUCGAUAAACGCCGCCGUCGCUGUUCAAAAUGAAAACAAACGAAAAAAAGAAUUAAACUCAAAAUUAAAUUGAAUAUAUAACAAAC